GUGACUUCAAUAUGCACACAACCCUCAAAUGGUAAAGCAACUGUUUUCAAGUAACCUGCACAUUUUAAUCUUUGACUCGAAGGGAGACGUCAGUCGUCAUAAUAAGCGGUCUUUACAGGAUGUUUCUUCAGAUUUUAUUACCGUUGGCUAUUGGAGGUUAUGCUGUUAAUGGACAAUUUGAUACCAGUUCUUGUGCAGACUUUAAUUCCAAAAUUGACAAAUGUUAUACAGAUAAUGGUCUGCCAGUAAGGAAUGAUAUACGAACACUAUCAAAUAUACUGGGAUUGUUCUUUCAAAACACAACUGAAAUAUGCGGUCCAUCGAAAAACAACAAUAAGAAUGCCGUUGGUUGUUACAUUGACCUACUUAGAGGAUGUGUUUUGGAUAACGACAGGAAAUUGAUAGCUUCUUCAAGUAAUUAUAAAGAAGCAUAUGAUAUACUCUGUAGUGACGGACCUACUGAAAGAAACUGUGUUGGAAAUUACGUAAGGACUUGUUUAGGCAGUAAAUUGACUGCUGCCGGUCUCAAUCCCCUGGGGCUAUUCGCCAAAGACACUUACGACGUCAAGAAGAAUCACAUUUGCAAACAGGCUGAAUUUUAUUUGACCUGUAUGAACGCAAAACCGGUGGAGCCGACUUGUAGAGCAGCCUCCAUAGAAAAGGAUGCCAAAAUAGUUACCAAACUAGCACCCGAAGCAUGUGAGGCUGCAGGGGCUAUGUCCAUAAUUUAUACAUCUCUACUUUUGGCCGCUUCUCUUUUUGUCACUGUCUGUAAUGUCAUCGUUUAAUAUCGUCCACAGUCUGUUUCUCUUGUGGUCUUUUUGUUACUAUCUCUAACCACAUUAAUAACAUAUUUUAUCAUUUGUGGUUUUAGUAUUUUUUAAAAAGUAUGAUGUUAUCUGUUAUAGGCAUAUGACCUGUUGACAUUUUCUAUACGAUUGAUAGUUCAGAUUUCAUGAUGAUUUUAAAUCGGAUUAUAUUUCUGAACUGUUCAAAUAAAUAUGAUUGUCUGCCGGUUAUACCAAUAUGUCAACCAUUUUUGUUGAGUUAUUAUAUGCAUUUACUCAUUGCUUCCAUCCAUCUGUCCGGAACUCGUGUAAAUUCGAUAAAGAUUGGAUUUUGAGAUUUGUUUGUACUUGCUGGAACCGUUGUGCUAGUUCUAAGCACUGUAUCACUGCUCUGAAUUUUGAAUUUCAAAGACGUGCUUCUAAAUGGCUAUUUAACACAUCGAAUUUCGUCUCCUUUCACUGACACUCGGUACAAGUUCCAGAUCUGAGAGCUAUUGCGUGAAUAACAGCGCCUCAUCUGAUGGGCAUUUAUAUACUCUUCAAAAAAAGGUAGAGGAUAUUGAAAUGCAAAUACCUAUGCAGGUUGCGAUAUGAUAAAUAGUCAUGGACAUUUGACAUGCUUUGAGAGUAUGUUCACAGAUGAAGAAUUUAUCGCCCCAACAGAACCACUGAGCUGCACAUGCGACACGCAAUAGCGCCAUACACGUGGGAUGGGUUCAUUAUUAAAUUUGACACUUCAAGGAAGGCUUGAUGAAAACUGCCGCGUGCUGGUUUAUCUAUCCAUAUUUGCUUUCCGAUCGGUUCUUGCAUACGAUUUACUGUUUAGCGUAUCUUUGCAUUAGUGUGUUACGUUUAAUUUGACCGGGAGAUGUGUUCGUCAACGUCAACCGACAACACUGCAAGAAGUGGCCGUGGGACUGCAAGAGGAGUGGGUCAGAUUGCCCAAAAUCGUGAUUGGGCGGCUGAUUAGGAGCAUGCCACGACAAAUUGCUGAAUGUCUGAGGAUUGUUGGAGCAAUUACUCAUUAUUAAGACAAAAAUCAAAA